UCGAGUUCCCCAAGCCGGGCGGCCUGCAGAAAUAGGAUCAUACGCCGAAUACGAAAGGGGUUAUGUGGCCCCGCGGUCAAUGAUGAACAGGUCGCGGGCCAUUGUACUGGAAGACAGAAAUAGAACCGUUCCAGAAACCUGAAAUACCCCGUUUGCCGAUGUCUCGUGUCUACACCCCUGCUGUCGUAAUUUCCCCGUUGCCCAACCGCUGAGCCAUAUGGCACAGUUGUUACGGCAAACCAGUUAUCAAGUCAUGAUAUCUCGGAUACAUUCAGUUAUACGAGUGUAAUUGAGGGCCAUGAUGGCCACAUGGAAGUGCCCAUGUUAAGACGUGCAUGACUUAUUCGUCGUACCAAACGCACCCUAAGGAACGUGGCGAGCAUCACCAAUUCCCAUUUGCUUUGCAUGAUGCAUAUCUGAAUGUUUUUCUCCUCCACGGAAGGCCUGCCUUCCGCACUCCGUGCGUUAAGUGAUGCAGAUGCAAUCCACUACAAGGGCAAAGCUUUUGGUAUAGGUAAAUUAUUGGGUAGCGUUGAAUGGCAUCCAGGUUAAGUUGUUAGCAAUCAGCGGUCAAGCCCCAUAAGGAUGCCGGCCUUGACGGUUGGUUCCAUGUUCU
rnacentral:lncRNA from 1 species